rnacentral:sRNA from 1 species
UAAAGAUGGGUCUGCAUUCCUUCUUCUAUUACUUUCUCAUUCUUCUUGCUGUAAUAGCAUCCUUUUCUUCCACUCAAAUUAAUGGAGAGUUGGAGAUUAAGAGAAAGCUUGGCGUCCAACCAACUACACCAAAAUCUCCCAUGACCGCUCAUAAUCCCGGCUCCGGUCAUAAUAAUUAGAAAAUGAAUUUUAAAUUUACCUCAAUUCUAAGUAAUCCAAUUGUAAUUUUGUU